rnacentral:lncRNA from 1 species
UGUAAAUAGACACACGGACACACACACAUGCACAUGCAUCUGCACACAUGCACACACACACAGAUACAGACACACAAACACAGACAUACACACAACGACACAGACAUGCACAUUCACACACACACUUUGUCCUAUAUAGAGGACACCUUUCAAAAGGCAGGACCAAAUAUAUGGAAUAUUUUACCCUCUUCGUUCAUAUUCCAUACACCACCAUACCUUACUGUAAACACUGAACUUUUAGCACAUUUUCAUUUUGAACGCAUGAGGUGAAUUAAGAGAAAGUUUUUCUUUUAUUCCAUUUAAAGACAUAGACUUCUUGAUUGAUGCUCCUUCUGUAUAAAAUCCAUUUCAAUGAGGAUUCAAUUAUUUCCCGAAGAGCAAUCGGCAUCCAUUAACAGAUCCACUGAUAAGCUAAUAAGCACUCCAUUCCAGGGAUUUGCCAAAUUAUGCCAUCAUACAAGAGAUGGUUUGAGAAUUCUUUAAGUGGCCAGUUAAUUGGGAGGAAUGACUUUCACUCCUGAAACCGUAUCCUCUAACAGGCACUUCCUUCACUUCCUGGGGAUUUAGCAGAUUUUGAAGAUAAUUGGACACAAGGAGAAGGAUAAUAAAGCAGAAAGGGGAAAUAGCAAAGAGUAAGCGCUCGGGCCUAGGAAAAUUAGCCCACUGGCUAGAAAGCACAGAGGCACAGCCCAACAUAAAGGAUAAUCAAACCGCAUCUCACUGUCUUCCUGUGGGGUUACAGAUGGUGUUUCAGGGCUCACCAUGAGGCGAGACAGGGAAGUUCAUCUUAAGAUCCUACAGGAAAUUAACUAGAGAAACGGGGCAACGAUGGAGGGCUUCUUUUCCAGUAGACUUGGGAUGGGGGGGUGGGGCAGAAAGUAGAGAGCGGAGGGUUCAGUUUGGCGCAUCCAAGCACCCAAACCACAGAGCUAGCGAACUCUAGGCAGGUUUGGGCUGUAAGUCUUGGUGAGUAGACUCUCCAGAGUUGAGUCUCCGUUCCACAUGCCUUGCAGCAUCCAUUUAACAUUCUCAGCACAAAGCCAAGAAUUUCAAAGCUACUUCCGGUGUUAGACCCACUUCCCAUUAAAUAAGUCCUGUGGCUAAUGAAAGCAAUUGGUAACCGAAGAAGAAGCUUUCUGUAGCCUCAAUAAGCCACCCUGGAACUGAAUAGUGUCUGCUGUCCCCACUAGGAGACAUCCGGGACUCUAAAUGAAAGCUUAUUGCAGAGAAUGAUGAAGACAGCCCAUGGGGAGCUUUGGAGUUUUAUCCUCAAUUCACUAUUUAAUACUAAUCAUACGUAUCGAGUAGAGAGGCUAUGUAACCAUUUUGCUCAUACUCACUUUAAUAUGUUCCCUCAUUUGAUAUGCCUUUUCCUCCUCCCUCACUUGCUCUCCCCUCCUCCCUCUCUGAAACACCGUAGCUCACACUACUUAGGUAAUAGUGACUAUGUUUAAGAGCACGUAAGUUCCUACCUAAGAAGAGGCACAGACAAAAGCAUAGACGAAAUGAAGGGAAAUGCUGAGAAAUAGGUCACAGGAGGCGAGUAACACUUGCCAAACAUUGCAGGAUGUGAAAUCAUGGAGAUGCGAAGGAACUACAGUUUUGUUUUUAAUUCUAUAAGUUGGGAGGUUAUUCUUUUGGGGAGUAGAACGGAAUGGGCUGAGGGGUUUAUUAAGUCCUGUGCCAGCACUUCUCUCAUAAGUUUUAAAUUCUGGACCAAUAAUGUUUGUUUCAUGAUUAUUGUAUCCAAUAUUUUGUGUAGUAUGUAACUCACUCUUACUGAUAAUAAAAGAAAUAUUAGCCUAUAACAGAAAUCA